UACGAAGGGGGGCUAGCGUUGCUCGGAAUUACUGGGCGUAAAGGGUGCGUAGGCGGUCGUGCAAGUCGGAUGUGAAAUCUCAGGGCUCAACCCUGAAACUGCAUUCGAUACUGCGCGGCUAGAGUGCUGGAGGGGAGACUGGAAUUUACGGUGUAGCGGUGAAAUGCGUAGAUAUCGUAAGGAAGACCAGUGGCGAAGGCGGGUCUCUGGACAGUUCCUGACGCUGAGGCACGAAGGCCAGGGGAGCAAACGGG
rnacentral:rRNA from 1 species